AUACGGAAGGUCCGGGCGUUAUCCGGAUUUAUUGGGUUUAAAGGGAGCGCAGGCGGAGAUGCAAGCGUGACGUCAAAUUUCGGGGCUCAACCCCGUCUCGCGUCGCGAACUGCGUCCCUUGGUUGCGGGAAGGGGAGGCGGAACUCGUGGUGUAGCGGUGAAAGGCAUAGAUAUCACGAAGAACUCCGAUCGCGAAGGCAGCCUUCCGGCCCGUCAACGACGCGCAUGCUCGAAGGUGCGGGUAUCAAACAGGAUUAGAUACCCUGGUAGUCCGCACAGUAAACGAUGGACACCCGCGGUUGGGCCUGUAUGGCUGAGCCGCCAAGCGAAAGCGUUAAGUGUCCACCUGGGGAGUACGCCGGCAACGGUGAAACUCAAAUGAAUUGACGGGG
rnacentral:rRNA from 1 species